CCCCCAACCACCUGCCCGCCAGAAGACUACAAGUGAUAAACUUGAAACUCAAAAGACUUGACGGUGCCCCAUAUCACCCUAGAGGAGCCUGUCCUAUAAUCGAUGACCCCCGUUUUACCUCACCUGCCCUAGAACAUAACCUUCAGCCUAUAUACCGCCGCCUUCAGCCCACCUUAUGAAAGAACCCCAAGUGGGCCAAACAGCCCCCACUAAAACGUCAGGUCAAGGUGUAGCUAACGCGCAGGAAGAGAUGGGCUACAUUAUCUACCCCUCAGAACACCACCCCCAACGCCAUGAAACAGGCGCCAAAAGGCGGAUUUAGCAGUAAACCGGGCAAGCCUGCCC
rnacentral:rRNA from 1 species